AUUGAACGCUGGCGGUAGGCCUAACACAUGCAAGUCGAACGCGAAAGUCCUUCGGGAUGAGUAGAGUGGCGGACGGGUGAGUAACGCGUAGGAAUCUAUCCUGUAGUGGGGGAGUAACGUUUCGGAAGGAACGCUAAUACCGCAUACGCCCCAAGGGGGAAAGCGGGGGAGUCUUCGGACCUCGUGCUAUAGGAGGAGCCUGCGUCGGAUUAGCUAGUUGGUGAGGUAAUGGCUCACCAAGGCUACGACGGGUAGGGGACCUGAGAGGGUGACCCCCCACAAUGGAACUGAAACACGGUCCAUACACCUACGGGUGGCAGCAGUAGGGAAUAUUGCACAAUGGGCGAAAGCCUGAUGCAGCAACGCCGCGUGUGCGAUGAAGGCCCUCGGGUCGUAAAGCACUUUUCUGAGAGAUGAGCAAGGACAGUUAUCUCAGGAAUAAGUCUCGGCUAACUACGUGCCAGCUAGCCGCGGUAAAGUAGUCGUGU
rnacentral:rRNA from 1 species